rnacentral:rRNA from 1 species
GUACACGCUGUGACUAGCAUAUCAAUAAGCGGAGGAAAAGAAACUAACAAGGAUUCCCCUAGUAACGGCGAGUGAAGCGGGAAGAGCUCAAAUUUGAAAUCUUAAAGGGUUUCCCUUUACGAAUUGUAGUUUAAAGAAGUGUUUUCUGUUGAGGUUUUGGUAAAAGUUCUUUGGAAUAGGACAUCAUAGAGGGUGAGAAUCCCGUAUUUGACCUUUACUUUCAACUUUGUGAUACACUUUCAAAGAGUCGGAUUGUUUGGGAAUGCAGUCCAAAAUGGGUGGUAAAUUUCAUCUAAAGCUAAAUAUUGGCGAGAGACCGAUAGCGAACAAGUACCGUGAGGGAAAGAUGAAAAGAACUUUGAAAAGAGAGUUAAACAGUACGUGAAAUUGUCAAAAGGGAAGCGUUUGACACCAGUGUUGUUUUUCUGAAAAUCAAUUAAAGAGCUGUUUAUGCUAAGUUGUUUAGACUUUAUCAGCUAACUGUUUAGUUUUGAGCUUUUCUUUAAUGCACUUUUCAGUUAACAAGUCAACAUCAAUUUCUUUUGCUGUAAAAAAGCUUGAGGAAGGUGGCUUGAGAUUCGUCUUAAGUGUUUAUAGCCUCUUGCCUAUGCAGUCGGAGAGAUUGAGGUCUGCAGCGUAGAUCCUUCGGGGCUAAAUGCAUUUGUGCUAAGUUAUAGCAUUUUAUAGACAACUUGUUGACUAUGAUUUGUCUUGUAGCUUACUCGCUUAUGUUAUUUUACCUACGCUUAGGAUGUUGACUGAUAUGUAGUCGUA